UACGUAGGGUGCAAGCGUUAAUCGGAAUUACUGGGCGUAAAGCGUGCGCAGGCGGUUCGCUAAGACAGAUGUGAAAUCCCCGGGCUUAACCUGGGAACUGCAUUUGUGACUGGCGGGCUAGAGUAUGGCAGAGGGGGUAGAAUUCCGACGUGUAGCAGUGAAAUGCGUAGAGAUGUGGAGGAACACCGAUGGCGAAGGCAGCCCCCUGGGCCAAUACUGACGCUCAUGCACGAAGCGUGGGAG
rnacentral:rRNA from 1 species